UACGUAGGGCGCAAGCGUUAUCCGGAAUUAUUGGGCGUAAAGAGCUCGUAGGCGGUGUGUCGCGUCGGCCGUGAAAACCUGCAGCUUAACUGUGGGCUUGCGGUCGAUACGGGCAUCACUGGAGUUCGGCAGAGGAGACUGGAAUUCCUGGUGUAGCAGUGAAAUGCGUAGAUAUCAGGAGGAAUACCGAUGGCGAAGGCAGGUCUCUGGGCUGAUACUGACGCUCAUGCACGAAAGCGUGGGGAGCGAACAGG
rnacentral:rRNA from 1 species